AGAAAUAAUAAAAAAUUGAAUAAAUCUUAUCUCUUUCCAAAUCCGGAUUUUAUCUCUAGAAGAACCAAAAAAAUCCAUAUGUUGUUCUUCUAAGUUGGUCUUCUACAAGCAUCUCUCAUCUGAAUCUUCUUCUCUACAACUUUGAAUUGAACUCUACCUGGAAAGGUCUUCUUUGCCAUUUGUUUUGUGACAAAAUCUAUUAGAAAAGGUCUUCUUUGCUAUCCGAAGAGUUGGAGCUCCCCUCAUAACCUUUUUUGUUUGUCGCAAUCCACAAAUAUUUUCCUUCCUUGCAGCGCGGUCAGGGUAAGAGGAUCUGCUGUUGUUUGAAACCCUCACUUAAGAUUUCUGCCUCACUGCCCCUAGGUCUGCCACCCAAACCCGUGAAAUCUCACUGUCUGGAUCUGAUGCAAGGUUAGAGAUGGGAAUCUCACUGAUAACCAAGAACUGAAUCUCUGGGUUGACGGGACGAAAUAUGAUCACCCGUGGUUUUACAAACAGAAUCCCUCAACUCUAAGAUGAUCAGCAAGAAGAAGAAUAGAGUCCAAAACAAAUUGGAUGCGAACUAUGAUAAGAUCUCCGAGUGGAGCUGCUUCAAAUAACCAUUCUGAUACAU